AUUGAACGCUGGCGGCAGGCUUAACACAUGCAAGUCGAACGAGUGGCGGACGGGUGAGUAAUGCUUGGGAAUCUAGCUUAUGGAGGGGGAUAACUACGGGAAACUGUAGCUAAUACCGCGUACCAUAGGAUGAGCCCAAGUGGGAUUAGGUAGUUGGUGAGGUAAAGGCUCACCAAGCCGACGAUCUCUAGCUGGUCUGAGAGGAUGACAAGCCACACUGGGACUGAGAAACGGACCAGACGCCGAAGGGAGGAAGCAGUGGGGAAUAUUGCGCAAUGGGGGCAACCUGACGGAGCCAGGCCGGGUGAAUGAAGAAGGCCUGCGGGUUGGAAAGUUCUGUAGGGAGCGAGGCGUUAACUACAGAAGAAGCACCGGCUAACUCCGUGCCAGCAGCCGCGGUAAUAC
rnacentral:rRNA from 1 species